UCCCUGGUGGUCCAGUGGUUAAGACUCUGCCCUUCAAAUGCAGGGGUCGCAGGUUCGACCCCUGGUCAGAGAA